GACGAACGCUGGCGGCGUGCUUAACACAUGCAAGUCGAACGGAAAGGCCCUGCUUUUGUGGGGUGCUCGAGUGGCGAACGGGUGAGUAACACGUGAGUAACCUGCCCUUGACUUUGGGAUAACUUCAGGAAAAUGGGGCUAAUACCGGAUAGGAGCUCCUGCUGCAUGGUGGGGGUUGGAAAGUUUCGGCGGUUGGGGAUGGACUCGCGGCUUAUCAGCUUGUUGGUGGGGUAGUGGCUUACCAAGGCUUUGACGGGUAGCCGGCCUGAGAGGGUGACCGGCCACAUUGGGCCUGAGAUACGGCCCAGACUCCUACGGGAGGCAGCAGUGGGGAAUAUUGCACAAUGGGCGGAAGCCUGAUGCAGCAACGCCGCGUGCGGGAUGACGGCCUUCGGGUUGUAAACCGCUUUCGCCGGUGACGAAGCGUGAGUGACGGUAAUGGGUAAAGAAGCACCGGCUAACUACGUG
rnacentral:rRNA from 1 species